rnacentral:rRNA from 1 species
AGUCGAACGAUAUCUUCCAGCUUGCUGGAAGAGAAAGUGGCGCACGGGUGCGUAACGCGUAUGCAACCUACCUUAAUCAGGGGGAUAGCCCGGAGAAAUCCGGAUUAACACCGCAUAAAAACACAGGAUAGCAUUAUCCAAUGUUCAAAUAUUUAUAGGAUUAAGAUGGGCAUGCGUGUCAUUAGCUAGUUGGCGGGGUAACGGUCCACCAAGGCGACGAUGACUAGGGGAUCUGAGAGGAUGGCCCCCCACACUGGUACUGAGACACGGACCAGACUCCUACGGGAGGCAACAGUAAGGAAUAUUGGUCAAUGGAGGCAACUCUGAACCAGCCAUGCCGCGUGCAGGAAGACUGCCCUAUGGGUUGUAAACUGCUUUUAUCCGGGAAUAAACCACAUUACGAGUAAUGUGCUGAAUGUACCGGAAGAAUAAGGAUCGGCUAACUCCGUGCCAGCAGCCGCGGUAAUACGGAGGAUCCAAGCGUUAUCCGGAUUUAUUGGGUUUAAAGGGUGCGUAGGCGGCCUGUUAAGUCAGGGGUGAAAGACGGUAGCUCAACUAUCGCAGUGCCCCUGAUACUGAUGGGCUUGAAUGGACUAGAGGUAGGCGGAAUGAGACAAGUAGCGGUGAAAUGCAUAGAUAUGUCUCAGAACACCGAUUGCGAAGGCAGCUUACUAUGGUCUUAUUGACGCUGAGGCACGAAAGCGUGGGGAUCAAACAGGAUUAGAUACCCUGGUAGUCCACGCCCUAAACGAUGAACACUCGCUGUUGGCGAUACACAGUCAGCGGCUAAGCGAAAGCGUUAAGUGUUCCACCUGGGGA